rnacentral:lncRNA from 1 species
CCACGGAGCUCAGGCUGGGGCUCCCGGGGUCGGUGUCGCCCGACCGCAAGGACAAGGUCGGGCUCACCCUGGAGCUGCUCCCCAGGGGCUUCGUCUCCGGUGCCAAGAGGGGGUUCUCCGACGCCAUCGAUGGGGCUGGGAAGUGGAGCUUCGCGUCCGGAGAGAGUGGAUCUGAGGUGGACCUGGGGAAAGGCGGUGGCUUGUUCUCGCCGAGAGGGGAGGCGGUGGCCGGGGCCAGCGGAGGGCAGCUCUCUGGGCAGGGCACUGGGGGUAAGGAUGCGGCAGCGAAGGCGGCCGGGCAGGAGCGGAAGGCCGCCGUACAGGUCGGUAG